GACGAACGCUGGCGGCGUGCUUAACACAUGCAAGUCGAGCGGAGCGGCGAACGGGUGAGUAACGCGUGAGUAACUGCCCCCCUCUCUGGGAUAACAGUUGGAAACGGCUGCUAAUACCGGAUAGUGGGGGAUGACUCGCGUCCUAUCAGCUUGUUGGUUGGGUAGUGGCCUACGAAGGCGACGACGGGUAGCCGGCCUGCGAGGGCGACCGGCCACAUGGGGCUGAGAUAGGGACCAAAAUCCUACGGGAGGCAGCAGUGGGGAAUAUUGCACAAGGGGGGAGAGCCUGAUGCAGAAGCGCCGGGUGCGGGAUGAUGGGCUUCGGGUUGAAAACCGCUUUCAGCGAUGACGCGGUAGUGGCAGAAGAAGCACCGGCUAACUACGUGCCAGCAGCCGCGGUAAUAC
rnacentral:rRNA from 1 species